AGACGGCUGAUGCCCAUAGUGUUUGGCCAGCUUACAUUUUUAUAGCAACAUAAUAAGUGAAUAGGUAAAGUUUAGUAGCGGUCAGUAGCGUUCAGGUAAAGUUUAGUGGCGGUCAGGUAAAGUUUAUUGGCCGGGGGUCAGGUAAAGUUUAGUGGCCGGGGGUCUGGUAAAGUUUAGUGGCGGUCAGGUUAAGUUUAGUGGCGGUCAGGUAAAGUUUAGUGGUAUCAUCAGUGAUGUUUGCUGCAAACAUGAAUCAGUGCAAUUCUUGUAUUUUAAAAUCUUGUAUCUCCAAUCUCAAGUGAUUUGAUGCUCGUCAUGUAUCGAUAGAUCGAUUAUCUCAAGUGAUUUGAUGCUCGUCAUGUAUCGAUAGAUCGAUGUCUCUCAAGUGAUUUGAUGCUAGCAAUGUAUCGAUAGAUCGAUUAUCUCAAGUGAUUUGAUGCUAGCUAUGUAUCGAUAGAUCGAUUAUCUCAAGUGAUUUGAUGCUAGCUAUGUAUCGAUAGAUCGAUGUCUCUCAAGUGAUUUGAUGCUCGUCAUGUAUCGAUAGAUCGAUUAUCUCAAGUGAUUUUGAUGCUCGUCAUGUAUCGAUAGAUCGAUGUCUCUGAGAAGACAAUUCUCGCUAGGUGCUCACUGUUCUGCUCGAUUGCAUUUUUUUUAUUACAACCAACCAAAGAGCCAAGGCCACAAUGCCAUAUUUGUCCGUGUAUGACGUCACAUGACGUUUUAUUUGUUCGUGUAUGACUACACGUGGCGAACUUUGCAUAAUAAAAUGUACACUAGUUUUAUGAUGUAUAUCUUGGUGUAUUAUUGAUACGUGUGUAUUGCUAUUCCACUAAGUUGAGUGCAAGCGAAGUAUUUGAUGUUUUAUGUACGUGUCUAUAAAUAGACUUUGUAUGUUGACAGCAUUCUUAUGUCAAAUCUAUGUGUUGGGUAGAUGUGUUAAUAUCCGCACACAUACAGCGGAGUUUUUCAAAUAUUAUUCAGUCAUUUUGCCAUAAAUAAAUAGAAAUUAAUUUUAAAUCAA